UCGCGGGGACUCUGGAACCCUAGGACUGGACUCGCCGUUGUCCCGGACACCCGGGGCUGACGCGUGGGCUCCGUCGGGGCGCAGAAGGGGACCAAGGCGCACGCAAGGCGCGUCCUGGUUCGCAAGGAUUUCCCCGCCACCUUCCGGACAAAGUCUCAAGUACAAGUUCAAGUUCAAGGCCAGGCCCGUUGGGGAGGGCUUGGGAGGGGGCUGAGCCGACCCGGGUUAGCCUUUGUUCCUGCCGAGAAUCAUUUCAGGUCCCCUUCCCGGUUGCGCCCUGCAGACGCCCCGCGGGAGCGACUCACCCUCCCGCCGGCCCGGCGCCGCCUGUGCCCUGGUCCCCCACGCCCCCACUCGGGGGCCACUGAAGGGUCUGGGGCUCCAGGAGGGUGGGGGAGGCGCGGUUGAAGCCCGUGGGAGCCGCCCUGGUCCCGCAGUUUCCGCGGCAAAUCGAGCUUGGCCGGACGGAUUCGAGCAAGGAGUUCAGGGAACCCAGCGCUGCUUUCCUGGAGUAAAACGCUUCCAGCCAAGAAGAGUUGCAAACGCAUGCGGGGUGGCUGCUGUUCUAUUGGACCCACUUUGGAAAAGUAUAACCAUAGAACUUCAUGAGCCAGGGGCCAGAGAGAUAGUACAGUGGUACAAGACAAGGGCCAUGGCCAGGGACACGAAGAGUCCAGCAGCCUGGAACUUGCCCUGCGUGCUGGCUGUCCAGUUCCGUUUGGAGUCUUCAAAGUCAAAGGCAUGGACAAGGCUGAGGGGAGAGGCGGGCAGG